rnacentral:rRNA from 1 species
AACGAACGCUGGCGGCAUGCCUAACACAUGCAAGUCGAACGAGACCUUCGGGUCUAGUGGCGCACGGGUGCGUAACGCGUGGGAACCUGCCUUUAGGUUCGGAAUAACUCAGAGAAAUUUGAGCUAAUACCGGAUGAUGUCUUCGGACCAAAGAUUUAUCGCCUUUAGAUGGGCCCGCGUUGGAUUAGCUAGUUGGUGGGGUAAAGGCCUACCAUGGCGACGAUCCAUAGCUGGUCUGAGAGGAUGAUCAGCCACACUGGGACUGAGACACGGCCCAGACUCCUACGGGAGGGAGCAGUGGGGAAUAUUGGACAAUGGGCGAAAGCCUGAUCCAGCAAUGCCGCGUGAGUGAUGAAGGCCUUAGGGUUGUAAAGCUCUUUUACCCGAGAUGAUAAUGACAGUAUCGGGAGAAUAAGCUCCGGCUAACUCCGUG